rnacentral:tRNA from 1 species
UCACUGGAGGACUAGUGGUUAGGCCACAGUGUUCUCACCGCUGUGGCCUGGGUUUGAUUCCCGGCCAGGGAA